GUUCAUGAACUAAAAGCCGACUACUUUGACAAAAAACAAAAAAAACCAUCCAACUCUAUUAUGUAUUUAUUUUAUUUCAAAAUUGUACAUUUCUUAUGGAAUCCAGCUGAAAGGGUAUUAAUAGAGCUAUUUUUCUUAUUUUCACUGCCUUUUUUUCCACUGAGUGAAAUGUUUUGGCUUUGUUCAGAUCAACUGUGUUUGAAGGAAACUUCCAUUACUACUGCUGGCCUUGUGGUUAUUUAGUUCACUGCUGACCCUAGAAAGUACCUUCUCCAGGUUGAAGCCAGCAUCAAAGCAGGAUGUUGUCAAGCUAUUGUAGCACUGCUGCCCUGUCAGGAAUAAAGUUUUGAUUUUUCUAGGGUUGUCACCAGUUUUCCUACCCAAACAUUUUUGACAAGUUUGAUCAAGGAAACCAAAUCAAGGACUGAAACAAAGUUUAUCAAGCUUAGCAAUCUGUACAAUUGUAGUUUGUAGGAAGCACACCUAUACCAUGAGCCACAGGUGGUAUGCAGACGUCAGGGCUGAAUGUCUGGGGUGAAAGUGGGGCAGGAUGUGUUUGUGAAGACUUUGAAGAAUCAUUUCUCUGUUGAAAAGAGGAAUUGUGUAUUUACUUUUUAAUAAAGUCACCAACUACCUUUGUAAUAGGUGAGGAUAAGUAGGGAAAUGUGGUGUUAUCCUUAUUUUACAGAAUUCAGUAUAACCUAGUUUUCAGAAUAAGAGAUUACUUAAGUCAUAGUCUUGCAUAUCUUAUCAGCAAGUACUGUGUUUUUCAAGGUGGCAUGGAAUUAAAAGCACACAAAAGAUACAAAAAUGGAGCACAGAAAGUGGUAACUGUAAAGGACAAAAAUCAACAGUGAGAGCUGAGAGAUAAAUGCUUCUGGUUCCUGAGAGCCCCCAUGAUUAUUUAUUUACAGUAUUUAAACAUGUGGGUGAGAAUAUCAAAGAGGGGAUACGAUGUCUGUCGGUUUAUGUGGUUAUGCUUACGUGGGAAGAUUUGUAUCUCUUUCACCCAGAGGUUCACUGACUGAUCUUUGUUCUCUGAACCUUCCAGAACAGGGAUUGUUACUGCUGUGUCCUUGCAGCUGCAGUGCCAGUACCUCACUGCUCAGCAAGUGAGAUCCUCCUACACUUUCCUUCAGACAUCUCCUCCUUGCCUUCAGGCCUUCCUGUUUGGGGUUGUUUUGCCAUCGUGUUGCUACUUUUUCUUGCCCAAGCUUCUGCUUCCUGACAUGUUAACAUGUACUGCCCCGUGCUCACAUGGCACACAGCUUCCUUCUCUGCUGGUUGCAUUCAGUGCUGUCACUCCCACAGGGAUGAGCAGGGUUUCUGCCUCAGCUUCCUUCCUUAAGCGGCCUCAUAGAAGAAGGAAGGAAAGGGAAAUCACUGAGCAUUAGUUUAUUGAACAGGAUAGACUUUCUGAAGUUCAAGACUUUCAUUUGCUGCCAGUCAGAGAAGAGAGGAGCUGGCCAUCACAAUCUUACUGAUGGAUAUACCUGAUGAACAAUUUGGCUUUGCCAGCUGUCUCCUGAAGAGCAGAAUUAUGGAGCCCAGAAGACUAAAAUCCAAUCAAGGCUGGCCUUAACAUCUACAGAGAAAUGCACAGAAGAUAAAAAAGAGAAGCAAAAAAAUUGAUGAUCACAAAGAAAGGAACAGAGGAAUGUAAUGAAAUAUUUGUGGAAAUGGCUAAACAUCCGAUUUCAAUAAAAAUAAUUUUUCACCCAAGUAUCAAGAGGAAAAGUUGGAAGAACUGGCUGUUGUCAUCUCAGAAGCCAUAUGCCUAUGCAUUAGAUGCUUAUGCACAAUGCCCACUUUGCUUUGCAGAGCUGAAAGUGAAACGGUAUGAAUAAACCAUCAUUUAUGAUCAUUAGUUAUACUGAGAAAGAAAAAGAGUAGCUUAUGCAUUUCUGUAUCUGGUUAUCUCUGUACAGAAAGAAAGAAAAUGGAGUUUCUUCCUCUUACAGGAAAUAGUUGGCUCUUAUAGCAUAUACUACCCACUUAACUAAGGGGGAAUCUAAUCAGGCAAAAGUGGAAAUAAAAGAUAAGAAGGAUUAUUUCUAAUCUGUAAUUAAUUCUUGGAAAUAAACAUGAGCAAGUCAGGCUCACUAAAGAAAUAAACAAAACUACAAUGUCCUCCAAUGCCUAUGUGAGUAGCAGAAUUAAGGAUAUCUGGUUCCCUUUGGGACUAUUUUCACCUCUCACAAGCCCUCUUCCCUGCUUCUAGAGCUUGCAGUGCAAUGCACGGCUACUUCAUCUGAUCCCAGCAGCCAUCCCUGCAAUGCUUUCAGUUUCAUACUAUAAGUCCCAAACAACUUCUUCCAUCUCUCUAGCUGAGGAAGAGACUGCUAAGUCAGUAUUUCAGAAAAGCAUGUUGUAACUGGCCUGUCAGCAAACAUCAUUUUACUGGAUUUUACUGGUAGGCCAAAGGCAAGGCCUCUUCUUUUAUCUGACAGGGCCCAUGGAUAGGGAACUCUAAACUUCCCACUGGCUUAUUCUCAUGGAAUAUAUAAGAACAUAGCAUAUUUGGGGUUUUGCACCCCUCUCUAGGAUUUCAUAGGCUAUGGGAUAAGGGUAGAGAGGGAAAGACAGGGUACAAUCAAGGA